rnacentral:rRNA from 1 species
GCAGUGGGGAAUAUUGGACAAUGGGCGAAAGCCUGAUCCAGCCAUGCCGCGUGUGUGAAGAAGGUCUUCGGAUUGUAAAGCACUUUAAGUUGGGAGGAAGGGUCGUUACCUAAUACGUGACGGUUUUGACGUUACCGACAGAAUAAGCACCGGCUAACUCUGUGCCAGCAGCCGCGGUAAUACAGAGGGUGCAAGCGUUAAUCGGAAUUACUGGGCGUAAAGCGCGCGUAGGUGGUUUGUCAAGUUGAAUGUGAAAUCCCCGGGCUCAACCUGGGAACUGCAUCCAAAACUGGCAAGCUAGAGUAUGGUAGAGGGUGGUGGAAUUUCCUGUGUAGCGGUGAAAUGCGUAGAUAUAGGAAGGAACAUCAGUGGCGAAGGCGACCACCUGGACUAAUACUGACACUGAGGUGCGAAAGCGUGGGGAGCAAACAGGAUUAGA